rnacentral:rRNA from 1 species
GAUCAUGGCUCAGAGUGAACGCUGGCGGCGUGCCUAAUACAUGCAAGUCGAACGGAGAUUAAGUAGCUUGCUAUUUAAUCUUAGUGGCGCACGGGUGAGUAAUGUAUAGUUAAUCUGCCUCAUAGUGGAGGACAACAGUUAGAAAUGACUGCUAAUACUCCAUACUCCUUCUUAUCAUAAGUUAAGUCGGGAAAGUUUUUCGCUAUGGGAUGAGACUAUAUCGU